rnacentral:lncRNA from 1 species
GAAAACAAUGAAGAGUCGUUAUAUGGAACUCUAUGACCUUAAUAGAGACUUGCUAAAUGGAUAUAAAAUUCGCUGUAACAAUCACACAGAGCUGUUGGGAAACCUCAAAGCAGUAAAUCAAGCAAUUCAAAGAGCAGGUCGUCUGCGGGUUGGAAAACCAAAGAACCAGGUGAUCACUGCUUGUCGGGAUGCAAUUCGAAGCAAUAACAUCAACACACUGUUCAAAAUCAUGCGAGUGGGGACAGCUUCUUCCUAGUCUUUACCUGGUGAAAGGACACAGGAGAUACUUCAAAGAAAACCAGUUUGUUCCACGAAGGGAUAAGAGACUUGACAAUCUGCUUCGGCUGAAAGUGUUCUGCACCAGGAAAGAACACAUCAAUAAAUUAUCAUUAACC